UUAAUUUUAAUUAUUAUUUUUAACACCUUUUUUUGGUAAAAAGUGCAAAAUAUUAUUAAAAAUUUAUUGAUCAUGCAUCUAAUAUACAUUUCAACUUAGCAUCCGAUUUCUUUUUUUUUUUUUCUCCCUCAUGUUUGAAUUAAUGGCCACCAUUAAUUGCUUUAUAUUUAGACGCAGGUCUCUCUCGCCCAUACACCACUGCCCAUCAUUUGAAGGCAUGGAAGUGAUCAUUUCCACUGCUGCAGAUUCAGUUCCUGAUCAAGAUAAUGGGUCCACAUACAACAAAGCUGAGCAAGUGAAGAGACCAAAGCUGGUGUUAAAAGGAUUAGUCGACUCUAGUGUGACCAAGAUCCCUAGGUUUUUUGUCCACCCAACAGAGAACCUGCAGAGAUCAUCAUCUGAAACCAGUGAUAUCAGCAGCAGCCUCCUGCAGGUCCCAGUGAUAGACUUGGAAUGCAUUGAAAGCUUGUAGACGGCGGGUUAUGGUGGUUAAUGAGAUUCGAAAUGCCUUGUUCCAUUGAAAUGAAUGGGUACUGGACCUUUAAGAGCCGCUACUAACCAAUUUGCUCUGACCCGGACUUGACGCUGGGCAGCACCAAGCAUACAACAGACCCUUCUUUUCCGACCAUACUGAUGCAAGACAACUUAGGUGGCCUUCAAGUUGCUGAUCAAAAUCAGUGGGUUGACCGUUGAUGUGCCUCCUCAACAGGUAAUUCAUGCCCGUGUAAACAUAGGGGACUUCAUGCAGUUUCAAGACAACAUGAUACCAGUAAUUUUCAAUGCAAAGAAACAAAUGAGAGCCAAAAUUAAGCAAGAAAGAAAAUUUUUUUGGUACAUUGGAAAGAAGAAAUGACUGUCAAUGUAGAGCUAGUAGCAAACUUUUAAUUAGCGAAGAGACCAAUGAAGGCUGAAAUUAGGCAAGAAAGAUACUGUAAUAUUGAAUGAUGGCUCGAUACAUUAUUUCAUAAUUAAACUUUCAAACGGAUAUGGGUUUUAAAAAUCUGAGGGAAAAGAGAUGCAAAUCGCACAUUGUCAAGUAAAAAAUAAAGAAGCUCUUCACAUAAAUGCUGGUCUUCAUUUCUUUUCAUUUCCUUUUUAUUUCAGGAAAAGGAGAAUACAAAACAAGAAUCACGACUAAAAAAAAUGCCAAUCAAAGAUCACAAAUGAGUGAAUGACUCACUAUUUUACAGAGGAGCAACACGACAAUCUCCAUGAGCUGACUGGUCUUUGUUGCUAGUUUAAAGUCUUAGGUUGCAAUAUCUGCACGAGUGACCAUAGGAUAUCCAUUCUAUGAAUGACUCUGUUGUUUUGACCCUGAAAUGUUUCAUGAUACAAUUAAGAAAUUCUGUAAACAGCAUUCCAGAGUGUUAAAUAAAGAAUGGUAGCAUAUCAUACAUUUUUCCA